AUUGGGUCUAAGGGUCUGUAGCCGGCCAAGUAAGUCCCUUGGGAAAUCUGGCAGCUUAACUGUCAGGCUGCUAGGGGAUACUGCUAGGCUUGGGACCGGGAGAGGUGAGAGGUACCUUGGGGGUAGGGGUGAAAUCUUGUGAUCCUCGGGGGACCACCAGUGGCGAAGGCGUCUCACCAGAACGGGUCCGACGGUAAGGGACGAAAGCUAGGGGCACGAACCGGAUUAGAUACCCGGGUAGUCCUAGCCGUAAACGAUGCUCGCUAGGUGUCAGUCACGGUGCGACCGUGAUUGGUGCCGUAGGGAAGCCGUGAAGCGAGCCACCUGGGAAGUAUGGCCGCAAGGCUGAAACUUAAAGGAAUUGGCGGGGGAGCACUACAACGGGUGGAGCCUGCGGUUUAAUUGGAUUCAACGCCGGAAAUCUCACCGGGGGCGACAGCGAUAUGAAGGUCAGGCUGAAGACCUUACCCGAUUAGCUGAGAGGUGGGGCCAUGGCCACUCU
rnacentral:rRNA from 1 species